UCCUCUCAACCGAUACGUCAG
rnacentral:piRNA from 1 species